ACUCCUACGGGAGGCAGCAGUGGGGAAUAUUGCACAAUGGGCGCAAGCCUGAUGCAGCCAUGCCGCGUGUAUGAAGAAGGCCUUCGGGUUGUAAAGUACUUUCAGCAGUGAGGAAGGUGGGUAUGUUAAUAGCAUACUCAUUUGACGUUAGCUGCAGAAGAAGCACCGGCUAACUCCGUGCCAGCAGCCGCGGUAAUACGGAGGGUGCGAGCGUUAAUCGGAAUUACUGGGCGUAAAGCGCAUGCAGGUGGUUUGUUAAGUCAGAUGUGAAAGCCCGGGGCUCAACCUCGGAAUUGCAUUUGAAACUGGCAAACUAGAGUACUGUAGAGGGGGGUAGAAUUUCAGGUGUAGCGGUGAAAUGCGUAGAGAUCUGAAGGAAUACCGGUGGCGAAGGCGGCCCCCUGGACAGAUACUGACACUCAGAUGCGAAAAGCGUGGGGAGCAAACAGGAUUAGAUACCCUGGUAGGCUCUAGC
rnacentral:rRNA from 1 species